UUCAAGCUGAGGGCUGAGGUGUAGGAAGGGGAGCAAGAACUCCUGGCGGAUGGAACCGCAAGAGCAAAGUCGUGGAGGCAAUAGGGGACAGGCGUUGGGGGAACUCCAAGUGGCUCUGGCUGGAGCAGCAUGUCAGGGUGUCUGGCAGGAUAGGGAGGAUGUGGACAGAGAAGGCUGGGAAGACCCGUGCAGACCUCGACAGGUUAAGCAGGUAGAGCUGAUGCCAGCUUCUCCAUCCAUCCCCAACACCCUGCCCCCUUCUGUCCUUCUUCGGGAGACAGGCUGGGCUGGCCCAGCCGGGUCCUGCACCACCACUGCCGCUGGAACCCCUGUGCUCACAUCCAGACUCCUCACAGCUCUCCUUUUCCUUGACCAGCCUACAGCUGGCCUACUCGCCCAACCCCAGCCCUUCAUGGGACGAUCCUAUCCUCCUUCUUCUGGCCAGCCACAGGCCAGAGUGGCUACCACCUCAGCUUCCCCUGCUCCUGGCUCCUGAGUACCUGGGGGUGCACCCCCUUCCUGCAGAGGCAGAAAACAGUGACACCAGGUGCAGAAUGAGGCCAUACUGGAAACAGAAUACUGGGGCACCCUCCUCUUAGAACGCAUGAUCUUCAGGGUAGAUGUUGAAUUCUAGUAACACAUUCCCUGGGGUGUUUUCAAAUCCAGACACACUGGAGCCUUGUUCCAGCCUCUCUCUGGCCCAAGACCUGGGCUCUCAUCCAGGCUCCGACUGCCUCUGGCUGUUGCCCUCUGCUCGUCCUGGCCGGCGGUGCUUACCAGGCCGGCCUUGCGGUCCCAGGGCUUCCCAAGUCCACUCCCUCCAGCCUCAGCUCCCGAGUGCCCACUCUUUGAUAUGCUCUUGCUCCUGAAUGCCACUUCUUUCUGCCAAGACCUCAGGCUCUGCCACACCCGGCCGAGUCUCCACUGACCUCGUGGCGCUCUGACCACUUGGAGAGCCCACCUCACCCGCCACCUACAUCUGGGAUGGUGAGCAGGAGCAGCCAAGUUUUAAAGACUUGCCAAUUUCCUCUGGAGUUCAAUUUCUUCCAAAGAGCCUGGCACAUCUCAGCUGCCAGUAUGAACUGUGAGUUCCCAGAGAUGCCGAUGGCACUUUCCAACAUUCAUCACUUUUGACACAUCUAAAAUAUCCUCGCUCCCAGCACUCUGUGAGCACCAGCCCAGAUGGACCGGCUGCCGAAGAAGUGUCAGUCUCUGAGAGGUCUCUGAGAGGCCCUGGGCAGAGGCUUCCUGACUGAGAAGCGUGUGCUCUCCACUCCCUCCCUCUGCCCCUUCUGAUGCUGAGCUGGUGAGUGGGCACCACUGGGCCCCAUCACAGCCCUCGCUGCCCAGCUUCCAAGCUCUAAACCAGUCUCCUUCCAUAGAACCCCUCACACCUUGGCUCCCCAUGGCUCCAAGCACUUUGCCAUCUUCCAGGCUCAGUUCUUCCAGAAGGGAAGCUGGCUACUUGGGAAUUCCCUGUGGGGUCACCUCUACUCUUUAAGGUCACGUGGAAAGAGCCUGACCUCCUGACCCAUCCAACAGCUGAAGUCAA
rnacentral:lncRNA from 1 species